rnacentral:rRNA from 1 species
UGCGUAGGCGGUUAUUUAAGUAGGAUGUGAAAUCUCCCGGCUCAACCGGGAAACUGCGUUCUAAACUGGAUAACUUGAGUGAGAUAGAGGUGUGCGGAACUUCCGGUGGAGCGGUGAAAUGUGUUGAUAUCGGAGGGAACACCGUUGGCGAAAGCGGCACACUGGGUCUUAACUGACGCUGAGGCACGAAAGCCAGGGGGGCAAACG